rnacentral:miRNA from 1 species
UGGGCAGAUCUCCUCUUGAAAC